AGCCCACUUUUAAUAUUGGCAAUUCUUAGAAUUUCUGCCGCCAGACUACCCAUUCUCCCUACAUCCAUUCAAUCGACCCCAACCGUUUUUCCCUUGAACCGACCCGAAUAGCGCCUUUCUUUUCUUCUUUCACGCGAGAAACAACCAAAUUCGAGGAAAUUCCAGCGAGUCAACAGAACAAGUAGCGCGUGAACGACACCCAGACGAAGACAGCAACAACGGCUUCGAACAGUGCCUUUCCCGUCAAAAUACACGGACAAGCAGAUGCGUUUCUCUUUUGCGUGUGGUCGUCUCUCUUCCCAGUAUAGAGCAGCAGCGCGAAGCAGACGCGGAUCGUCCUUGCUCGUGCAGAUGCGCGACACGUCGCGCCAAGGAAGAUCCAGUUAAUCUCAGUCGUUCAUCCCUCUUUCCUCACCCGGAAUAAGGUCAAAAUUUCAGAAAAAGUGGCUCCUCCAAAAAUGGAAAUUUUUGAGAUGUUUGAUUUUUUAAUUGGUCUCCUUAGUCCGUUUUUGUUUGGUGUUUCUGUUUUCCCCCAGAAAAUUAAAAAACACUAAUCCCCCUCUAUAUAACAUCUCUUCCAUUUCAUUGAGAGGGGGUCAUAAUUUUUUUUGAGUUGAAAAUCAGGGAGAAGUAAGGCAAGAAAAGAAAAUUGAAAAUAUGGACCCUUUUUACUGAUACUAAGCAUAAAAGAAAACCAGUCCUAAUCAAGCUUGAUUUCCUCUGUUUUUCGCUCGGCAUAAGCUUGUCCGGAGUUGGGAUUUCAUCUAUUGUCCUAUCUAUUGUUUGUCUUCGAGUCUCAUGGUGAAGGCCGCUACCUCUUUGCUCGCCCAACCUUAGUUCGUUGCACCCAAGAAACGUUUACUUUUCCCCGCAUUUUCGAGAGAGUCAUAAAGACUCGUAGUUUUAUCGAGUUAGCCGGCCUCUAACUUCGACGUACAUAUCUUGGAGUUGAAAAAUUAAGGCGGAGGAGAUUUGAAGAAGUUGGGCCAAAAAGGCUUUCCUUUCAAUAUUGUAAACAGUUGUAUUUCUUUAUUUUUGAGCUUGUCAUCUUUUAUUACUAUUAUUAUCUUGAAAGUUUAGGACAUGUACCGUUGAAAUGGGACGAAGGCCCAAAACAAAAUGGUCCAGGCGGACGGAAACUUGAUUUGGACCCAA